AGUUGAUCAGUCGGCUACGAGGACGAACGCUGGCGGCGUGCUUAACACAUGCAAGUCGAACGAGGUCCACUGCGUAGCAAUACAAGGGAAGACCUAGUGGCGAACGGGUGCGUAACACGUGAGGAACUUGUCCCGGUCUCUGGGAUAACAGUUGGAAACGACUGCUAAUACCGGAUGACGUCGGAAUCUCGCAUGGGAUACUGACGAAAGGGUUACUGGAUCGGGAGAGCCUCGCGGCCUAUCAGCUUGUUGGUGAGGUAACGGCUCACCAAGGGCAUCGACGGGUAGCUGGUCUGAGAGGAUGAUCAGCCACACUGGGACUGAGACACGGCCCAGACUCCUACGGGAGGCAGCAGUGGGGAAUCUUGCGCAAUGGGCGAAAGCCUGACGCAGCAACGCCGCGUGCGGGAAGAAGGCCCUCGGGUUGUAAACCGCUUUCAGUAGGAACGAAAAUGACGGUACCUGCAGAAGAAGGUGCGGCCAACUACGUG
rnacentral:rRNA from 1 species